rnacentral:rRNA from 1 species
CUAAGAAUAUUCCGCAAUGGACGAAAGUCUGACGGAGCGACGCCGCGUGGAUGAAGAAGGCCGAAAGGUUGUAAAAUCCUUUUGCUGAUGAAGAAUAAGUGUGGUUAGGGAAUGACCGCAUGAUGACAUUAGUCGGUGAAUAAGCCCCGGCUAACUACGUG